GCCUCGGUGGUGUAGCCCGGCCAGGGGAUACGCUGACAGCAUAAGGGGCUUUCGACCCCUUGACCCGGGUGGCUGCCAUAAUGGGCAUGCUAGGGAGUUCAAAUCCCGGCCGAGGCACCA
rnacentral:tRNA from 1 species